CCAAUAGCGUAUAUUAAAGUUGUUGCAGUUAAAAAGCUCGUAGUUGAAUUUCGGGGUUAGUAGGUUGGUCAUGCCUCUGGUAUGUACUGGUCUCACUGAUUCCUCCUUCCUGAUGAACCUUAAUGCCAUUAAUUUGGUGUUUUGGGAAAUUUGGACUGUUACUUUGAAAAAAUUAGAGUGUUUAAAGCAAGCUAACGCUUGAAUACAUUAGCAUGGAAUAAUGAAAUAGGACGUUCGAUCCUACUUUGUUGGUUUCUAGGAUUGACGUAAUGAUUAAUAGGGAUAGUUGGGGGCAUUAGUAUUCAAUUGUCAGAGGUGAAAUUCUUGGAUUUAUUGAAGACUAACUACUGCGAAAGCAUUUGCCAAGGAUGUUUUCAUUAAUCAAGAACGAAAGUUAGGGGAUCGAAGACGAUCAGAUACCGUCGUAGUCUUAACCAUAAACUAUGCCGACUAGGGAUCGGAUGAUGUUAAUUUUUUAAUGACUCAUUCGGCGCCUUACG
rnacentral:misc_RNA from 1 species